rnacentral:rRNA from 1 species
UCCGGACUUUUGUUCGGUGAGAGUGGCGGACGGGUGAGUAACGCGUGGGAUCCUGCCCAGUGGUGGGGGAUAUCUGCGGGAAACUGCAGGUAAUAUAGCAUGAGCCCGAGAGGGGAAAGAUUUUUCGCCAUUGGAGGGGCCUGCGUUCGAUUAGGUAGUUGGUGAGGUAAUGGCUCACCAAGCUCGACGAUCGAUAGCUGGUCUGAGAGGAUGAUCAGCCACACUGGGACUGAGAUUCGGCCCAGACUCAUACGGGAGGCAGCAGUGGGGAAUAUUGGACAAUGGGGGCAACCCUGAUCCAGCAAUUCCGCGUGAGUGAUGAAGGCCUUCGGG